UCUCCGUAGGUGAACCUGCGGAGGGAUCAUUCACAUGAUUUACUUUAUAAACAAACUGUGAACUUUAUUAUCAUACUAUUCUUGUAGGGAUUAUUUUAUAAUCUUUUACAACGUCAUUCGAUGAACAUUAGAUAGUUGGCUUGUUUUUUUUAAAUAAAAAACUUUCUCAGCUGAUUUGUUUGUUAGACUAAACAUCUAUUCAAUCAAUCAACCAAAAACAUAGAAACAACUCUAUGCCCUGGAUAUCUUGGUUCUC
rnacentral:misc_RNA from 1 species